UCGAGCUUCAGCAGCAGCAGCAGCGGCUUCACCGGCACCGGAUCAGGCUUCAGCAGCAGCAACAGCGGAGCUCAAGGAAGCGGCGGUUCGGGCUUCAGCAGCGGCAACAGUGGCUUCACUACCGGUGGAUUCGGGUCCGGUGGAGGUGGAGGAGGAGCAGGUGGAGGAGGCGGAGGAAGUGGAGGCGUUUGCUGUGGGAAAUGGUAGACGACAUGGUAGACGACAGGCCUACGACGAAGCUGAACUGGUUGCUAGUGUUGCAUGAUCAUCUGGACUCAAUAAAGUUCAUCAAUCUGAA